AGCCUGAACGCUGGCGGCGUGGCUAAGACAUGCAAGUCGUACGGGUGUAGCAAUACACCAGUGGCGAACGGGUGAGUAAUGUAUCGCUAAUGUGCCCCGGAUUCUGGGAUAGCUAUCCGAAAGGGUAGGUAAUACCAGAUGAUAUAACUUUGCCGCAUGGCAGAGUUCUCAAAGGAGUAAUCCGCUCUGGGAGCAGGCGAUAUCGUAUCAGCUAGUUGGUGAGGUAACGGCCUACCAAGGCGACGACGGGUA
rnacentral:rRNA from 1 species